GACGAACGCUGGCGGCGUGCUUAACACAUGCAAGUCGAACGGAAAGGCCCUGCUUUUGUGGGGUGCUCGAGUGGCGAACGGGUGAGUAACACGUGAGUAACCUGCCCUUGACUUUGGGAUAACUUCAGGAAACUGGGGCUAAUACCGGAUAGGAGCUCCUGCUGCAUGGUGGGGGUUUGAAAGUUUCGGCGGUUGGGGAUGGACUCGCGGCUUAUCAGCUUGUUGGUGGGGUAGUGGCUUACCAAGGCUUUGACGGGUAGCCGGCCUGAGAGGGUGACCGGCCACAUUGGGACUGAGAGACGGCCCAGACUCCUACGGGAGGCAGCAGUGGGGAAUAUUGCACAAUGGGCGGAAGCCUGAUGCAGCAACGCCGCGUGCGGGAUGACGGCCUUCGGGUUGUAAACCGCUUUCGCCUGUGACGAAGCGUGAGUGACGGUAAUGGGUAAAGAAGCACCGGCUAACUACGUG
rnacentral:rRNA from 1 species